rnacentral:lncRNA from 1 species
GGUGUAGCUCCAACCCUAAAGAGUGCCUGGCUCACCAUAGUCAUAAAAAGAAUGAAAUAAUGCCAUUUGCAACAACAUGGAUGGACCUAGAGAUUAUCAUACUAAGUGAAGCAAGUCAGAAAGAGAAAGACAAAUGCCAUAUGAUAUCAUUUAUAUGUGGAAUCUUAAAAAAGGAUACAAAUGAACCUAUUUACAAAACAGAAACAGACUCACACACAUAGAAAAAAACUUAUGGCUACCAAAGUGGUGGAGGAGGGAUAGAGUAGGAGUUUGGAAUGAGCAGACACAAACUCUUAUACAUAAAAUAGAUAAAUAACAAGGACUUACUGUAUAGCACAGGAAACUAUAUUCACUACCUUGUAAUAACCUAUAAUGGACUAGAAUCUGAAAAAUAAUAUGUAUAUCUGAAUUACUUUGCUGUACACCAGAAACUAACACAACAUUGUAAAUCAACUAUACUUCAAUUCAAUUAAAAAAAAAAAAAGAAUGGGGUAUUCCCCUGUGACACAGCAGGAUAAGAAUCCAGUGUUGUCACUACAGUGGUUCAGGUUGGAGCUGUGACAUGGGUACAAUCCCUGGCCUGGGAACUUCUGUACGCUGCAGGUGUGGCUUAAAAAAAAAAAAAAAAAAAAAAGAAUGGCUAAUACUGUGAGAAAAAUAAUGUAAAAACACUCAUUUGCUUGACUUGACUUCACUCAUUAAGGAAUAAUUGCACAGGACCAUCUAGAAAGAGAAAUGUGAUGUGAGCCCAGGUCCCCAACUCAAUGCCACAUUUGUCCUUUUCUGUUUGGAAAGGCUGGGGAUUUCCUAUUCCCUGUCUAUUCCUCCCCUUCAGUCCUUCCUCCAUUAAAACAAUGUGCUACCAAACAAAACACAAAGUUCCAAAAUGAUUAUUUGAAAUUAUUUAGUUUUUACCCUCCCUAGGUUAUGACCAGGUAAAAGCAAUAAAAACAAAAUCAAGGGAGUUCCCAUUAUGGCACAGUGGUAAAGAACCUGACUAGUAUCUAUGAAGACACAGGUUCAAUCCCUGGCCUCACUCACUGGGUUAAGGAUCUGGCAUUGCUAUGAGCUGUGGUAUAGGUCGCAGAUGUGAUAUGGAUCCUGUGUUGUUAUGGCUGUGGCGCAGGCCUGCAGCUGCAGCUCUGAUUCAGCCCCUGGCCUGGAAACUUCCACAUGUCAUAGGUGUGGCCCUUAAAGCAAAAAAAAAAAAAAAAAAAACAAAAAAAAAAAAAAAAAAAAAAAAAAAAAAACCAAAAAACAAGAACAAAUAAAUAAACAAAAAACCACACAAGACUUUGGGGCCUAAUUACUGACCAAAUGUCAUCCUCUCCAAUCACUUUGAUGGCUUAUUUCUUUUUAAAAUUCAGCACACCCCUACAGGAGUGAGAGGCAGUAAGGACUGGCCUGUGGUGGUGACAGUAGACAUGGAAAAAGACAGAUGGUAGAGACUUUGGGAUUAGCUGGAUGCAAGGCUGGAAGGAAAGGAGAAGACAAAGGGGUGGGGAGGGGUCCUGCUGGAGCUCCCAGGAGACUCAUAUCAUCACUGAGCAGGUCCGAGAAACAGGAGGGUCAAGCUGAGUAGGAAGGAAAGAUGCGGAAUUUGCCUCUCCUGUGUUUCCUUGUUAUGCUUCAGCUGCACCAACCACAGCACCGUCAUCUCAUCAGUUCAUGUGAAAAGACGAUUUCUUCCUGAAGUUUCUUCUGCCAGAUCUCCCCAUGGCUGGCUUAGUGUCAACAUCACCUCUUCAGAAAGGCCCUCCUGACCAACUGAAGUAGCCAUCCAGCCUCUUGUCUCUGUCCGUGUUUUGUUUUCUUCAGGGCCCUCAGCACCACCUGAGGUUUCCUUGUUUAUCCAUUUCUGGUCCAUGUCUCCUCAGCUACAGUGUGGCUUCUAGGAGAGCAGAAGCCUCCUUCGUCCACUCGACCACAUUGGAUUUGCGGAGAUUGUGUCGAGGGCAGAGCAGGCUCUCAGGUGACACGAAAGGGGAAAGUCACCUAAGCUAUACAAGCUUUGGCAGGCUCAGAGCCCUAAUCUAAGAAGGAGAGAGCAAUUUAUCUUCCAGUCUCCCACAGACUCAGUCCCGGUAUUGCUUCUCAUAGAAAAACAGGAAACAAAGUAAGCCUCCAUCAUGGAGUUCCAGUCGUGGUGCAGCAGAAACGAAUCCGACUAGGAACCAUGAGGUUGCAGGUUCGAUCCCUGGCCUCGCUCAGUGGGUUAAAGAUCUGGUGUUGCCGUGAGCUGUGGUGUAGGUCGCAGACGCGACUUGGAUCUGGCGUUGCUGUGGCCUUGGUGUAGCCCGGCAGCUACAGCUCCAAUUAGACCCCUAGCCUGGGAAACUCCAUAUGCUGAGGGUGUGGCCCUAAAAGGCAAAAACACAAAACAAAACAAAACACAACAUAGAAUCCCGUGUGACCUGGCCAUUAAAAAUGGUAAUGAGAGUAUCUGCUGCAGAUGGAAACACACGUACCCUUUCUCCGACCCAACGAUCCCAUUCCUGUAUCUAUCCCCACCAGGAACGCAUGUGCACAGCCACCAAACUACAUGCAAAAGAAUGCGCACAGCAGCCCAACUCACAAUAGCCCCAAACUGGGCCAAAAUGUCCAUUAACAGCAGACUGGAUCACGUGUGACUGCGAUUGCCGAGAAUGCUGUCUAGCCGUGAGGGCAGAUCAACAACCCACACAACGACGUGGAUGAAUCUCACAAACAGAACGUGGAGUAAAAGAGGAAAGAAAGAGACGUUCUGUGCAGUUCAGUUCCAUUUACAGGAAGUUCAAAAGCAGGCACAGCUAAUCCCAGGCUGGUGGAAGGCAGGACACAGGUUAUCUGGGAAAGGAGUGCUGACGGGGAGAGGGCAGGAGAAACUUCCAAAAUGUGGGAAAUGUCCUGUUUCUUGAUCUGCUUCCUGGGUGCAGAGCUGUGUUCACUUUUUGAAAAUGUGUGGUGUUUCACACAUAUGACUUGCACUCUUUCCUGUGUGUAUGUGAUACAUCAAACGAAGAAAGAAAGGAAAAAGGAGGCAGAUCUACAUUUAUUGACGUGGCACAUGGGAAGACGUGCCGGCCUCAGCACAGAGAGGACAGGUACGCCCCUGUAGUAUAGUCAUUCCAGUUAUGCUAAGUUGCAGAAGCAGAGCUCUAAGGACCUAUAUGAAAAGAAGGUCACUCCAGGAAACAGUUCUCGUAGAGGUUAACGGUGCUUACCUUGGAGUCGGAGUGUGACUUUUGUUUAGUUUUGACUGUUUUAUACUUCUCUAUUUGUUUGCAUUUGUGUCUAGCAUAUGCAUCACUUUAUCCUCAGAGAAUGGUUUUUAUUUUUAAAAAACGCCUCCUUGAUGAAAAGGAAAAGGAAAACCUGCUUUUUAUUUCCCCCAGAAGCAAACCAAAGUCUACUGACCAAAGUCUACUGAAGAAAGUGACCAGGGACAGGACACAUACACGGUGGGCCUCUAACUCGAUUUGCAACUGCGCCAGGUUGUAAGCAUUUCCAAGGCUGGUCCUGGACAGAGCAGCCACUGUCUUUCAUGCCAACAGACAUGAAAACGGUAAAAAUGUGAGGGUGGACGAAGGGAGAGGUCGGAGUCUGCGGGAGUUCAGGGUAAAUGCUAUAGAAGUUGCAGGUGACCUGUUCUCCCUCCCUUUGAAGCAGAGAGCAGAUGGGUCCGUUUAUUAAAGGAAAGUAACCUCCAUUUAUCAUUCUUCAGCCUCUAAUCCGUAUGCUGUCCACCAUGGCGCUACCUCUCUUUGGCUCGGGUUGAGGGAUUCUACCAGUUUUGUCCCAGCCCUGCCUUCCCCAGCGUGCGAGACUUUCCUAUUUCUCCCUCAGCUCCCUUUCCCACCCAGAGCCUCCUCCACAAGCUCACAUACUCCAAAUUCUUUGACUGGGGGAUACAGUACUUUCUUGUACAAAGCCCAAGCUAAAAAUGUAAAUAACCCCGGGUGAGUUAACACAUGGCCUUAAUAUUCACACUAAGGUGUAAAUGUCUAAUAUAAGUUCGAAAGUGGAAGCUCCGAUGGGGGGAUGGGCACAGGGGAAGAAAGGCCCCUGUUUCCGCCCAGAGUUGGCCAGGUUGUGAUGGCACCUCCGUCCCCUCCACCGCAGCCCCCACCCCCACGCAGGCCUGUCCAGAAGAUCCCAAGCCACCCAGAAGCAGAAGGCAGCUCCCAUCACCCUGACCAGAUCUAUAUCCAUUCCAGACUCAGGAUUACAAUAAUUUGGGAGAGGGUCAACCAAGUCAGAGCCCCAGAUGGCAGAAGAGCUGCUUUAGCUUAAGACUCUUAACUCUUUUUCCUCGGGGCAGGAAAGGUUUGAGACAAUGAAGGAUGAGGCUUUCCAGGCCCGGGACACAACCUUGAUCCAAAGCCUAGUCAUGGCUUUAAUUUCUGUAAAUCAAAGCCUCAAGUUUUUCUUCACUCUCUUAGCUGAAGACAUGUUACCCAGGAUGGAGGGGGGAAAGAAAGGAAUAAUAGGUACCAAAUUGGAGGUUGUGUGACAUCCUGUGCCACUUAAACCCUUUGCAGGCAGGCAGAAAUCACUGCUUUACUAAAUUCCAUUUCCUAAGCGUUUUUUCCCCCCACUCCCAACCAUUGUCUUCACAGGAUCAUCCCAUACUUGGAAAACAUUUGUCUAAUUAUCAUCACACACGAUGGGCCUAUUGCCAGCUGCUUUUUAUUUUAACUUCAGAUUCUUUCCAGGGUGUUUGUUGUUUUUUUUUUUUUCCUCGGGGGUGGGGAGCGGGAGAGAGGAGUGCAUGUCUGUUUUUGCUAUUACGCAGAACCGAUCAGAUUUCCUUUUAUAAUCACAAUUAAACUUCCAGAUCCGAUCAUGUGAAUCCUUCAUGUUUAGAGGAUUGGAAUGCUCAUUGAUUCGGUCAGUCGCACAAAACUUUCCAAGUCU